rnacentral:rRNA from 1 species
GAUGAACGCUGGCGGCGUGCCUAAUACAUGCAAGUCGAGCGAACAGACGAGGAGCUUGCUCCUCUGACGUUAGCGGCGGACGGGUGAGUCACACGUGGAUAACCUACCUAUAAGACUGGGAUAACUACGCGAAACCGGAGCUACUACCGGAUGAUAUAUCGAACCGCAUGGUGCAAUAGUUAAAGACGGUUUUUCUGUCACUUAUAGAUUGAUCCGCGCCGCAUUAGUUGGUUGGGAAGGUAACGGCUUAGCAAGGCGACGAGGCGUAGCCGACCUGAGAGGGCGAUCGGCCGCACUGGAGAUAGGACGAGGUCCAGACCCGGACGUGAGGCAGGAGCAGGGAACCUACCGGAAGGGGCGAAAGCGAGACGGAGCAACGGCGCGUGAGUGAGGAAGGUCUACGGAGCGUGAAUCUCUGUUAUCUGGGAAGAACAAAUGUGUUAGUAACGAGGCGCGUAUGGCAGGUACGGAAGAAGAAGGCCAGGCCUAACUACGG